GACGAACGCUGGCGGCGUGCUUAACACAUGCAAGUCGAACGGAAAGGCCCUGCUUUUGUGGGGUGCUCGAGUGGCGAACGGGUGAGUAACACGUGAGUAACCUGCCCUUGACUUUGGGAUAACUUCAGGAAACUGGGGCUAAUACCGGAUAGGAGCUCCUGCUGCAUGGUGGGGGUUGGAAAGUUUCGGCGGUUGGGGAUGGACUCGCGGCUUAUCAGCUUGUUGGUGGGGUAGUGGCUUACCAAGGCUUUGACGGGUAGCCGGCCUGAGAGGGUGACCGGCCACAUGGGGACUGAGAUACGGCCCAGACUCCUACGGGAGGCAGCAGUGGGGAAUAUUGCACAAUGGGCGGAAGCCUGAUGCAGCAACGCCGCGUGCGGGAUGACGGCCUUCGGGUUGUAAACCGCUUUCGCCUGUGACGAAGCGUGAGUGACGGUAAUGGGUAAAGAAGCACCGGCUACUACGUG
rnacentral:rRNA from 1 species